CUGAUGCUAGCUCCCUGUUAGCUGUUAGCUGGACUACGAUCGUAUUAAAGGUUGAAGGAGCGGAUGAUUUAUUAUUAGCGUCUCUUUUCUCGUCUGUACUUGUUCAUGUACAACAGUCACAGGUCUGCUAGUCGUCGCUGGUGCUGACCUGUUUGUUGACUUUAAGCUCUCACAACAAGGCAAAAGAUAUAAAAAGUAAUGAGGACAUAAUGAAGUAUAAAAGCUUAACUGUAACUCUCAGCUAAAUACAUUGACUCAAAUACUUCACUUCAGGACACAUUUAAGGGCAGAGCAACGUGUAGCGUGUGUACAGUAAAUACAGCCGACUGUUAGCUGAGAAUAAAUCAAGGCGACAACGAUAACCUCCAUCUUUAAUUUGAGGGUGUUCACAUCACAUCAGAAAAAACAGCAGGAACAGUCUCUCAUGUUUCUGUUCUGUCAUGUUUCUGUGUAACAGAGAUGUCGGAUACUUCAGAGAAAAAGUGGAAACCAACUCUGACUAAAAUCCUGGAGGAGCUGGACAACAAACAGUACAGAAAGACAAUGGAAUAUUUGGACAAAGUUCCCAAAGGUCAGAAGAAAGGCAGAUCUUUUGCAACGAUGGCCCAAAAAAUAAUUGAGCGCUACGGACAUGACGAAUCAAUUUCUACAAUACAUAAAAUCAUGGAAGAGAUACCGAGGAAGGAUCCGAGGAUGCAGGAACUGUUGGGCCCCUUUGUUGAAGAACUGAGGAGCAAAAAUGAAAAAGGGAGAAAAGGAAAGAAGAGAAAGUGUGAUUCAGUGGAGAAGGAAGACAAUCCUCCAGCAGAGAUGUCGGAUACUUCAGAGAAAAAGUGGAAAGCAACUCUGACUAAAAUCCUGGAGGAGCUGGACAACAAACAGUACAGAGAGACGAUGGAAUAUUUGGACAAAAUCCCCGGAAGUCAGAAGAAAGGCAGAUCUGAAGCAACGAUGGCCCAAAAAAUCAUUGAGCGCUACGGACAUGAUGAAUCAAUUUCUGCAAUACAUAAUAUCAUGGAAGAGAUACCGAGGAAGGAUCCAAGGAUGCAGGAACUGUUGGGCCCCUUUGUCGAAGAACUGAGCAGCAAAAAUGAAAAAGGGAGAAAAGGAAAGAAGAGAAAGUGUGAUCCAGUGGAGAAGGAAGACAAUCCUCCAGCAGGAAAGAAGAGGAAAUGUGAUCAAGUGGAGAAGAAGAAGAAAAAGCCUGCAGAAGGUCAAAAGAGCAGCCAGCCUGUCAAGGAGACAAACGCUGAUCGUUGGAAGAAAUCCAUCCGUGAGCUGAAGUCCAGCAGUGCACUUCUUGACACUGAUGGCAUUGUUGGGAAAGUUGUUCAGAAAUCUGGUGUGCGCAGUUAUCGAACCAAAGAAAAUGUUAAAAAGUAUUUUUUUUAUCUGGCAGUCGCUGAUGAGACGGCCAGCAUGAAAUUGAUGGUGUAUGGAAAACCAUUCUAUAAACAAAUCAUGGAAAAAAAGACCUACAUGUUCAGAAAGCUAACAAAAGACGAGAAAGGUUUUAUUAAGCUUCGCGCACAGAGUAAAUUCUCAAAGAAGAGAAAACCUGUUCAAGUUCCAGACAAGCUCGAGACGGAAGCUCGGGAGCUGAUUUAUCCCAAGUGUCCAGAUUACUCCAUUGCUGAAGCCAAACUGUCUGCUGACAUCCGUGUGACUGUUAAAGGAACCAUUACAAAGAUUGAUCCCAUCGAACCAGCUACAGGGAAGACAAAACAGAAGACGACGCAGCGUUUCCAGAUAAAAGACGACACCGACUCCAUCAGCAUCUGCAUGUGGGGUGAAGACACCAGGCAGUGCAAAGGAUUAUCAGUGGGUGAUGUCAUCCAGGCUACCAACAUGAAGACCAACCGGUACUAUGGCACAAUCUCGCUGAACUCAACUGGAUUCACCAAAAUUCAGAAGGUUCAAAGUGGCAGCCAGAGUGAGAGAAUUGAAAUUGAAGGAAUCGCAAAAGCCACAAAGAAGGAGACUCACCUGGACGCAUUUUUCAGAGACGAGAUGCACAGGUGUGUUGUGGCUUCUCCACUUCUGGCAAAGGCUUUUGGCUUCAAACUGGAGGGUGAUAUAAAAGAAAAGCUCCUUGACAUCAUUCCAAUGUCAGCAGACGCAGUAAUACAAGGAGGUCAAAUAAAAGAACUCACAGCCGCUCCAGUGAAAUAA
rnacentral:lncRNA from 1 species